GACUACAUAUUUAAAUGAAUUGUAUGGAAGUGUUCAAAUGAGAGCGGCAGACGCAUUCAUGUAACAGGUAUAAAGGCUAAAAACCGACAAUAUAUUAUGGUAGAGGAAGGUGGACCGGAAAGAGGCAGCGUGGUCGCGCGGCAGCCGCCACGUGCUUCGAGUCGAGUAGUGGCGAACAGCACCGAACAUGGCCGAACGCGAGAUUUCAUGUCAGAACCCAGUGUCGGAAUGCUUUGCUCUCAGUCGUAGGCGCGUGCCACGUACCGCCGUGUCACCAAGUGUGGGUGUUUAUUCGUUUUCGUCGUUUUGACAUAUCUCUUCGUGCCGCUACUCGCAUGUUACUCUAUUUAACAAAUCGUCGACAAAUAUCGAUAUAAUUUACCACCAACUGUAUAUUCAUCGAUUUAUCCAAUUAAUUUAUAUAAUUUAAGUUUAGCUCAAAUACAAACUUUUUCGUAAUCUAUAAGCCGGCAUGAGUUUAUGACAUUAUCAUUGGUGAAAUAGUGAUUAAGUGGUUAAAUAAUAUCGAACUAGCGACUCGAAAAUUUAUCGAAUGACGAAUUUCAAAGAUUGAGUGACGUGCAGUGUCACGUGAAGCGAAAUGAAGAAUCGCUUAAGAAUGUACCGGUGGCAACAACAACGACACAUCAGAUAAGAGCGCAUAUUGAGAUAUGGAUAGAUGAGAUAUUUCUUUAUUUUACAUACACAACACUAGGCUUUUCUACUACGAAAUUUUACAAGUCAGUUUUACCAAUUACCAAUGACACCCUAUUGCAUUACAAUAACAAUUUCAGUCACAAAUCAAAAGCAACCAUACAACUAAGAUUGUAAAGUUAUAAAAUUUUAUAACGUACAAUCCUCAAUUUAUUAUUUGUCAAUUAUUACUUAUUAUUAUUACGUACUAAAUUAUUGUUUUAGAGGAGAACUCGAAGAUUCAUUCUUAAAAAUAUGCUUUAAGAAUUGGUGGGGAUAGCGACGGUUGGUUAAUAAAGUAAAAUCCAGUUCACUUAAGGCGACAUAGUUGUAUAAUAUUACUUUUUCUGAGGAGUCAUUUUUGCGUAUCACUUCGAGAUCUCACUCUGUUCGUCGAAAGGAAUACUCCGUGAUUCUCAUUUGAUUUAUUGCGACGACGGCCGACUUCGCUGUGACAAGAAACGCGGAACGGAAAUUGAAACGGAACGAUGACAGAGAGAACGACAGUCUUUGAAGAUGCGCCAAUUAGGGGGCAAGUUUUCGAGUUUGUCCGCACGAAAUGCCAAGGACCGUUACUUAGUGGUGCAGCUCUUUUCAACGCAUUUCGCGUUGCGAUUUUUAAUUAGCUCCCGGUCGACACUAGAGAUUAAAGUACCGCGGCAUGCAUAUUCACUGUUGCGGUUAAGUCGUUGGUGUUUCGUCCGUUGGAAAAUACUGUGAUUCGCGCGGCACGGUGUUUUGAGGUUAUGAGUGGAAGAAAUAAUUUUUCUCAUGCGGAACGAGUGAAAAGUUCAAAGUUAAAAAACUAAAUUACGAAGGACUAAAGGAGAAAAUUCUGUUAAGUAACAAUAUUUCAUUUCUUUAUGGUCAUAUUCAGCUUGCAUGUGUAAUUAUUAAUAUAACUGAUAUGUAUCUGAUUUUGGGAUGGUGAAAAUGUUUUGUACAAUGAUUUGCAACUACAUUCGUGAACUGUAACCAAUUAGUACACUACCGAGACUGUUUGCAUUUUUCUAAAAGUUGAUUCUUUAUUUUAUUUGUCUUUGCUCAUAAAUUUGUAGUAGAUACUACUAUGUUACGUUUAAUUCUUUUAUAUCAUUUUAUUUUUAGACUUAUCUUUCAGCUAGAAUUAACUGUUAUACUCCUCAGGCUAUUUACAUUUUUCUUGAAAUUAAUCCAUUGUUACUCAUUUCUAUUUAACCAUAAAUUCAUAAUAUAUAUUCAUAGUAAUCUCUAAUAACUAUGUUAUUCUCAUAAUUUCCGUAAACUUCGCUUUAAAACAUAUAUAUGUCAAUAUAUACAAUGAUUUUAGGUUAUCUUUGCUUGUCUUAAUCCUGGUGAAACUACCCUGGCAGGUUCGAAAAAUGUUCCAACGGUUGAACCACGUCGGUUGAAGACAAAUUCCGGGCGAGCUUUACGAAAAGAGGGAUCCUUAUCAGGGACCUGAUCACGACGAACCUCAUCCAAGUUGCCGAUCUUGUCUUUCGAGGACAAAUAGUCGAAACUCGAGCCGGUGCUACUGUCCAAGCCGCCACGGUGAUUUUUCCCCGAGGUGGAUCCUCUUAUCAGGGACCCUGCAGAGGCCCUCUUUUUUUCUUCAAUUUUUACCUCUACCAGCAGGGUUACCUAAUACUUCAAAGUGCGCUUACUUCUCUGCCAUUACUACUUUACAAGCCCUUUUUUAUCUUCUUUUUUAUUUGUUUUUAUAACAAAGAAUAAAUUAAAAGUAGGUUAGAAAUUCAAUAGAGAAUAAAUUAAAAAUUAGAAAUACAAUAAGAGAUACUUAGGGGGCCAAAAGAUGUAUACACAUUUCAACAAAAGAAAUUCCAUCAUUCAAUCCAACCUCUGUUAACCCUUUGCAGUCGAGGACUUUUUCGGUCGGGCGAAGCUACUACUUUGGAUGAUUUAGCGUAUACGUGACGCGUGUCCUCCAGCUAGCGUAAAAUUAAUUUUGUAAUAUUAAUUUCUGUAUUUUUUUUGUAUGAUAAUUUAUAAAGCAUUCACUAAGGUGCAUUCUUGAAUAUCAUUGAUCUCAUUUUUCAACAGUUCAAAAUAAAGUCCAUCUUUAUUUGAGUUAAUUUUACUUCCGAAAACCAGUUUUUAGGGUUUCUAAGCUAUAAUACUCUUGUCAUGACCGUCGAAUCCGAACUAACGUUGGAGACGUUGUCGGAACCAUAGUUUCGGAGAGAUAUGGGAUUAAAUAUUUUAUCUCUCUUUUAAAGUCUAACACUUUACAUUUUCUAACAAAGAACAUAAAGAGCUAAGAAACCAAUUUACGAAAUAAUAUUGCACUUUCAACAAUUGGAGAUGUCGCCUCUCGCUCGCCACUGGAGUUGUAGCACGGAACGCCGUGUUGACUGAGAGUCGCCCCUCAAAUCCAAAGGAUUAAAGUGUGUAUGUAUUUUCUUGGCUCCUUCAUAAAUUAAAAAUUAGGAAUUUGAUUAAAAGUAAAAUAAAAGCUAUGUUCAGUAUUGGAAAUAGAUCAUAAAUAAAGUGACAGUUCAGUGAUAAAUAAAUGACAAAGUUAAUUGGGUUA